CCAAACUCAUAUUCCUCUGAUGAAGAUCAUUAUUCUGCUUCACUGCGCGUGAACAUCAUCUUUACAUAAGCUGGACGACACAAAGGCUUAUGACAGCUUUAAUAAUGGAGUCAUGCUGCAUUUAACACGCCUUUAUAGAUGCUCGCUAUGCACAAUUAUUGAGUUAUUGUUUAUGAUCAUGUCAUAUAUGGAUGUGUAUUGACAUGCAUCUGAAGGCAAACGCUGACACGGAUGCCCUGAAUAACUGAGCAGCUCCUCCCUCUGGAUGAAGAACAUUCUGUUCCUCUUCUGACUGGAUGCAAAGAUUAUAUACCGGCAGAAUCCCUGAUGAGGAGAGCUGAAGCGAAUACAGACAAAUGAAAUCAAUGAAAGGGACUUAAUUCUCAUGGAAUAUGAAACUGUGAUUGGGAAUUUCUAUAGAUGUUCUGCUCGUAGUUGUUUAGGGUUAGAAAAUCCUCCUCAUCCAAACUACAGAAAACAAAAGACGGGGUUAUUAUCUUCAACCAGAACAUUAAAACAUUUUAGUUACCAAAAUAAACAUAGGUCAUAUUUAAAAAAAAA